rnacentral:misc_RNA from 1 species
GAUGAAGAACGCAGCGAAAUGCGAUAAGUAAUGUGAAUUGCAGAGUUCAGUGAAUCAUCGAAUCUUUGAACGCACAUUGCGCCCGUCAGUAUUCUGACGGGCAUGCCUGUCCGAGCGUCAUUUCAACCCUCAAGCACUGCUUGGCGUUGGCGGAUUGCGUGCCCUCGCGGCGCUGCAACCGCCCAAAUACAGUGGCGGUCCCGCUGCGGCUCCCUUUGCGUAGUAACUCAUCUCGCACUGGACCGGGCGGCGGCCUGCCGUAAAACCCCAACUCACGAAAUGUUGACCUCGGAUCAGGUAGGAAUACCCGCUGAACUUAAGCAUAUCAAUAAGCGGAGGA